CUCUGGCGGUGUCCUUUGAGCUGCCGGGACGGCGCAAGGUGGCUGAGCGAAGCUUUUUGCUCGGUGCUUACAGGGAGUACCUGAGAUGGUUUGGGAAAGGAAACAGGGGGUCUCAGACCGCUUGGGUGCAGCGCUCUCCCCAUGCGUUUGAGUGCAGAUCUGUCGAGACGCCCCAGCCCUCGCCACCCCACCAAGCUCUCAGGUAGAGAGGCCCCGGGACAGGAAACCUGUUUAUGCACCCUCCUGCAAUCCCACCACCUGCCCAGGCCAAGUGAGCCCCUCUCCGCUACUGGUGUUUCAUAAUGCUGGGAGCUACUUUGAUUUCAUGCAUUGCCCUUCAGCUGCCAUGUUAUGAGGACACUUGGAGAAAGCUACAGGAGAGGAACUGAGGUCUCCUGCCAUCAGCCACUUGAGUGAGCAUGGGAGUGGAUUCUCCAAACUCCAGUUAAGACUUGAGAUGUCCACAGUGGCAGCCACUAGCUUGACUGCAACUUACGAGAGACCCUGAGCCAGAGGCACUCAGUUAAGUCAUACACAGUUUCCUGACCCGUAAAACCUGUGACACAAUGAAGGUUUGUUGUUUUGGGGGUAAUCCGUUAUUCAGCAAUAGAUAACGAAUACAGAAGGCUUGUAAUUGUAUAACCAACGUGAGUUUAUAAGCGGAUAUCUGACCUCAUUUGUUUUCUCCUGAAAAAGUUAUAGAAAAAUCACAAGACUGCAAGUCACUCUCUCUCUUUCUUUUGUGGGGAAUAAACAAGUAUAAUUACAAUUUCUAAACCUAUUGUUUUAUUCUCAAAUAUAAUUACAAUUUAAACAGGAUAUUGUAGAGCUCCAUCAUAGGGAUUAACACUAAUUAGAAUUAAAGAACGUUUUUGUGAAAGUCAGCUUUUUUUUUUUAAAUAAACACUCGUCCCUUGAUAAUGUAUUUCUUUUUCAUAAAAUUAAAAAAAAAAUGUGGGUUGUAGUAGGUGUAUAUAUUUAUGUGGUACAUGAGAUGUUUUGAUACAGGCAUGACGUGUAAUAAUCACAUCAUGGAAGAUGGCGUAUCCAUCCCCUCAAGCAUUUAUCCUUUGUGUUACAAACAAUCCAGUUACACUCUUUUUGUUAUUUAAAAAUGUACAAUUAAAUUAUUAUUGGCUAUAGUCACCCUGUUGUGCUAUCAAAUAUUAGGUCUUAUUCAUUCAUUUAACUAUUUUUUUGUACCUAUUUAUCAUCCCCAUCCCCGGUUCCCUCCCACCACCCACCCCACUACCCUUCCCGGCCUCUGGUAACCAUCCUUCUACUCUCUAGCUCCAUGAGCUCCAUUGUUUUGAUUUUUAGCUCCCACAAAUAAAUGAGAACAUGUAAUGU
ensembl:lncRNA LINC00629 long intergenic non-protein coding RNA 629